GCCAGACUCCUACGGGAGGCAGCAGUGGGGAAUAUUGGGCAAUGGGCGCAAGCCUGACCCAGCAACGCCGCGUGAAGGAAGAAGGCUUUCGGGUUGUAAACUUCUUUUAAGAGGGAAGAGUAGAAGACGGUACCUCUUGAAUAAGCCACGGCUAACUACGUGCCAGCAGCCGCGGUAAUACGUAGGGGGCAAGCGUUAUCCGGAUUUACUGGGUGUAAAGGGAGCGUAGACGGCAGUGCAAGUCCGGAGUGAAAGCCCGGGGCUCAACCCUGGGACUGCUCUGGAAACUGUAAAGCUGGAGUGCGGGAGGGGCAGGCGGAAUUCCUGGUGUAGCGGUGAAAUGCGUAGAUAUCAGGAGGAACACCGGCGGCGAAGGCGGCCUGCUGGACCGUAACUGACGUUGAGGCUCGAAAGCGUGGGGAGCAAACAGGAUUAGAUACCCGAGUAAA
rnacentral:rRNA from 1 species